GAUGAACGCUGGCGGCGUGCCUAAUACAUGCAAGUCGAGCGAACAGACGAGGAGCUUGCUCCUCUGACGUUAGCGGCGGACGGGUUAGUAACACGUGGAUAACCUACCUAUAAGACUGGGAUAACUUCGGGAAACCGGAGCUAAUACCGGAUAAUAUAUUGAACCGCAUGGUUCAAUAGUGAAAGACGGUUUUGCUGUCACUUAUAGAUGGAUCCGCGCCGCAUUAGCUAGUUGGUAAGGUAACGGCUUACCAAGGCAACGAUGCGUAGCCGACCUGAGAGGGUGAUCGGCCACACUGGAACUGAGACACGGUCCAGACUCCUACGGGAGGCAGCAGUAGGGAAUCUUCCGCAAUGGGCGAAAGCUUGACGGAGCAACGCCGCGUGAGUGAUGAAGGUCUUCGGAUCGUAAAACUCUGUUAUUAGGGAAGAACAAAUGUGUAAGUAACUAGGCACGUCUUGACGGUACCUAAUCAGAAAGCCACGGCUAACUACGUG
rnacentral:rRNA from 1 species